rnacentral:lncRNA from 1 species
UAUUCAUUCCUGCUUCCUCCUACUUGCUCCACACAUUGCCAUACAUUUGGUCUGUUAGGAGUUCCUCCUUCACACUUCCACCUCUACUUCCCCUAAAUCCGUGAACACAAAUGCCAAACCUCAGAAUGAUUGCUGUACCUGGGAGGCUUCAGAGCCGAGGCAGCAGUGACUGAAUG